CAGAGGUCUCGAGCGUUAGUCGGAGUCACUGGGCUUAAAGCGUACGUAGGCGGAUAUGCAGGCGUCGUGUGAAAUCCCUCGGCUCAACCGGGGAACUGCACGGCGAACCGCAUGUCUUGAGAUCGGUAGGGGCUGUCGGAACGAUAGGUGGAGUGGUGAAAAUGCGUUGAUAUCUAUCGGAACGCCGAAGGUGAAGACAGGCAGCUGGGCCGAUUCUGACGCUGAGGUACGAAAGCGUGGGGAGCGAACGGGAUUAGAUACCCCGGUAGUCCACGCCGUAAACGAUGUGCACUAGAUCGAGGAGGUUCUGACACCAUUCUCGGUCGAAGUAAAAACGUUGAGUGCACCGCCUGGGGAGUACGGUCGCAAGGCUA
rnacentral:rRNA from 1 species